CUUUCACAUGGGCUGUAAUUUAGUUCAAUUCAGAACUGCAGAUAGUACAGCUUUCACAGGAGCAGGGGAUGCCUGAGCACAAGUGGCUGAGUUCCGAGUGACUUUAGGAAGCACUUUCCUCCCUCCCUCCUGCCUGAGAACGGGGAUUCUGCACCUGCAUCAGGGACAGUCUGGCAAAAGCCUCUGCCAUGCCUCGGGGGACAAGGAACUAGCACAAAUAACCGUUUUGAAAUUGGAUCUUGGCAAAAUUAACGACAAAUCCAUAAAGGAAACCGAAGGCAGUUUGAGCUUCAUCUUCGAUGACAAUCCCACCAAAGUUGAAGAAAUAUGUUACGUCUCUAAAGAAGAGCAUGGCUGUGCCCUAAAGUUAGGACGUGAUGGUGGAUGCUGCCACAGUGUGGCCUGCUGAUCAGUGUGUGGGUCUGCACCUGGAUCUGAACUCGUGAACCCUGGGCUGCCAAAGUGGAGCACUCGAAUUUAACCACUCCGCCACCGGGCCAGCCCCAACUCCACUUAUUUUUAACCCUGUUUUUUAAAGAUUCUGAAAGAUGACAGCUGUCCAUCCUUUGAGAUGAUUCAAUUUUCAAGAAUAGCAGAAAACCUAUAAUGUUGCAAAGUUUGAGGCAUAAAGCCAUUGAUCAGAUUGAUUCGCAAGGACUGGAAUAAAAAACUAAGACUAAUUUUCAUCUGUUCUCCAUGAAAUACCUCUAAAGGUCAUUUCACUGAUUAGAAUCAAAUUGGGUGGAUAUCUGGCCCAAACACUCAUCUAGAGGGAAUACUAAAAAGGUAAUGAGGUAGGAAAAUAGUUUUGACCAGACCUUACCUCAAUGAGAGAACAGUAUGUAGUUAAAAUAUUUAGGUACGUGUGUGCGUGUGUGUAUGUGUGUGUGAAACUCACCACCAAAGGUAUGUUUUGGUAAGAACAAAAGUAGAAAAACUCACUCCUAAAGAGGCUUUUGUCGAAGCAGAGAACAUCACUACCUUCUCUGCUUUCCCCCAUACAGCCUUUUACUAAAUAAAACCUGCAACAGUUAAAGAAUAUUGUUUUGAAUAGGCCCUAACUUACUAUACUUUCCAUAGGACCCCUAUGUCUUGAUCCAUAGAGACAAUAUAGAAAUGUUUUCAAAAAUUAAAAUAUUAUUGGAAGAAGUACAC
rnacentral:lncRNA from 1 species